ACGCCAUUUUGAAUUCCCGUUACAAAUAUGCGCACGCAUUAACACGCGAUUCUGAGGUAAAUUCAUCAAAGUUUCACGUCCUCUUCACUCCCCUUCCAACCCAAUGUGUGCAAUUACUAUUAUAGGGUCGGUAGAUAAUAAAAUUAUAGCGAUUAGACAGUAUUAUUGUACAUACACUCCACUCUCACACUCUCAGACUCACCCACAUACACUCACUCUCACACACACACAUACACUCACACUCACACACAAACUCACUCUCACACUCAGACUCACACACACAGACUCACUCUAACACUCAGACUCACACACACAGACUCACUCUAACACUCAGACUCACACAUACACUCGCUCUCAGACUUUCAGACUCGCACACACUCGCGGCGUUGCUCCGUGUUCGGUGGGGGGGGGAUGUCACGAGUGGGCGUGUUUACCUUCCCCCCACCCUCCCCGAGAUCUUCAAACAAUCGCGGAGAUUCUUAUUCCUGUCGAAAAGCUACGAGCCCAAGCCCGCCUGAGCUGCUGUACCGCUCUUGUUUAUAGAAGCUACCUGCCCACGACACAAGAAUUGGUCUGAUGGAGCAAAGGCAGUCAGCACAGCUCGGUACGGCAAGGCAACAAUGCGACCAGAGUGCAUACAGCACGGAUCGCACUGGAAAUUUGACACAGCACCAGAGAACACUCACAGGAGACAA